rnacentral:rRNA from 1 species
UGGGGAAUUUUGGACAAUGGGCGAAAGCCUGAUCCAGCAAUGCCGCGUGUGUGAAGAAGGCCUUCGGGUUGUAAAGCACUUUUGUCCGGAAAGAAAUCCUUGGCUCUAAUACAGUCGGGGGAUGACGGUACCGGAAGAAUAAGCACCGGCUAACUACGUGCCAGCAGCCGCGGUAAUACGUAGGGUGCAAGCGUUAAUCGGAAUUACUGGGCGUAAAGCGUGCGCAGGCGGUUUGCUAAGACCGAUGUGAAAUCCCCGGGCUCAACCUGGGAACUGCAUUGGUGACUGGCAGGCUAGAGUAUGGCAGAGGGGGGUAGAAUUCCACGUGUAGCAGUGAAAUGCGUAGAGAUGUGGAGGAAUACCGAUGGCGAAGGCAGCCCCCCUGGGCCAAAUACUGACGCUCAUGCACGAAAGCGUGGGGAGCAAACAGGAUUAGAUACCCUGGUAGUCCACGCCCUAAACGAUGUCAACUAGUUGUUGGGGAUUCAUUUCCUUAGUAACGUAGCUAACGCGUGAAGUUGACCGCCUGGGGGAGUACGAUCGCAAGAUUAAAACUCAAAUGAAUUGACGGGGUCAUAGCUGUUUCCU